rnacentral:rRNA from 1 species
GACGAACGCUGGCGGCGUGCCUAAUACAUGCAAGUCGAGCGAAUCUUUGGGAGCUUGCUCCCGAAGGUUAGCGGCGGACGGGUGAGUAACACGUGGGCAACCUGCCUAUAAGACUGGGAUAACUUCGGGAAACCGGAGCUAAUACCGGAUAAUUCUUUUCCUCUCAUGAGGAAAGGCUGAAAGACGGCGCAAGCUGUCACUUAUAGAUGGGCCCGCGGCGCAUUAGCUAGUUGGUGAGGUAACGGCUCACCAAGGCGACGAUGCGUAGCCGACCUGAGAGGGUGAUCGGCCACACUGGGACUGAGACACGGCCCAGACUCCUACGGGUGGCAG